AUGGUAACGGCGCUGACGUACGCUGCAAAGCAGUGUAGUAGAGUGGAUUCAAAUCCAGGAAAGAAUCCCAACUGCAUCCACCUGGCUGGAAGGAGAUUCUUCAGGCCCCUCCCUCCCCCUCACCUCACCACCGUCGCUCUCCUCCUUCCUUCCUCUACAGUUCCAGCCCCAGCCAGUCCCCACAAAGCCCACGGUUUGGUUUUAUAUAUAGCCAAAGCGGAACCCGAGGUCCUCACCGGUGUCUUCCUCAAGGCCACCGAGGCAAACCUCAAGAGACUUGCUGCUGUUGGACCGUUCGUCACCUAUGGGUUCCCCAAUUUGAAGAAUGUGAAGGAGCUUAUUUACAAGGAGCCUUUCCCCCUUACCAGCAAUGAUCUAAUCGAGAAGUUCUACAAUUGUGUUUUCAGGUGCAUCGGAAGGUGUUAUGACAAUCUCCGCUGUUUCUACACGGCGCCGGUCCGCCACAUCUCAACUAGCAUCUACUACUACAUGUUGUACUAG
rnacentral:rRNA from 1 species